UGUAAACUUAAUUGAAGAUAGAAUUGUUGCAGAUCUAAGUUGAGGUGUUACUGAGGCAGGGUGAGUACUUAAUCCAAGAUGACUGUUGUCUGUAUAAAAGUAGUAAAUGUGAAGAGACAUGAUGUACACGGAAAGAAGAAUGCCAUGUGAACAUUAAGGCAGGAAUUAGGGCAAAGCAUCCACAAUCAAACAAUGCUAAAUAUUUCUAGUAAACUAUAAGAAGCUAAGAGAAAGGCAUGGUACAUAUUUUCCUGUAUUUCCCUCAGAAACAAUCAACCAUAACAACAUCUUGAUCUUAGACUCAUGGCCUCUGGAACUUUGAAACAAUAAAAGCAUGAUUUUUGAGUUUAUAUACUUUUUUUAUGGCAGCCAUAGCAAACUAACUCAGUAUAUUUAUAAUAAUUUCUCCCUCACAUUAGCACUAAUGUCUGAAGAGAUGACAUAUUUACAAACAUACAUGAAGAUAACUAAGACAACCCUGGGACGACCCUGUACUUAGUGGUGAUAAUUAGAUAUACACAUUUCAUCUUGUCUAGCAGAAAUUGCCAAGAGAAAGAAAACCAUAGAAACACAGAAAAAGAUAACACUCAUGGCCGGUGGGGGUGGAAAGAUAACACUCCUGGGAGGUGGGGGUGGAACAGAACUCACAUACAAUUACAUACUCAUUAUUUAACCAUCAUUUGGUAAAAUUUACAUAAUUAAGGACUAAGUUAUGAUAGUCAACGGCUCAAUGGAAAGUGGCAGUCAUCGGCUGAGUUUUUGGUGAAAGUAAGUAAAGCUGUCAAAUGAAUUCAGAUCGUGUUAGUCUGAGUCUACUAUCUACAUUCUCCAUCAGAUAAGCAUGUUGUUUUUGUCUAUAACUUUGAUUCUUCCAGAUAAAAAUACCUGACCUCUUCCCUACUACAUAUUAAUCAUUUUAAGUGCUGGGUCAUUUGAAAGUUGGGAAGUCAAUUAGCUCAGGUCAGAAGCACUGAAACAGUCCCAGGGGAAAAAAAGAGAGGAGAGAGAAAUAAUUCAGGCUUAAAAAAAAAAAUAGUUCAGACUUAUAUGAAAAUGCUGAAUAUAGAUAAAAGUUUUCCAAGAUAAAAAUCUAAGAGAAGCAAAUAACCAAAGCAAACAUUGCAGAGUAAGAAGAUCAUGAUUAGCUGACAUCAUUUACUCAUUCAUUCAAUUUUUGUUGAGUAUUUACUAUGUGCCUGGCAUUAAACUUGACAUUAAGAAUACAAAGAUACAAAACAUAUAUUAUCUUCUUAAUGGAAAAAGUGGAGAACAAGAUAGCAGUCAAAUGCAUAUGAUGACUUCAUGUAUUUACAUGCACUUUAAAGAAAGUCAAGCGGUUAGAGCUGUUUUAGAUGAGGUCAUAAGCAAAGUCCUUUUGAAGACUUUUUUUGUUUUGUUUUUUGCUGCUGUGUGCAGCAGCGUGGUGUGAGAUCUCAGUUCCCAGACUAGGAAUAGAAUGAGGCUACAGUGGUGAAAGGAACUAGUCCUAACCACUAGACCACCAGGGAACUCCCCUUUUUGAAGAGAUUUUUAAACUGAGGCUUAAAGGAAGGUAAGGAGUGAUCCAAAGAAAGGGGGCAGCACUCCUGACUGAGCAAAGAAACAAUAACAAAACGUUGUACUCUACAAGAGAAGUCUGCUCUUCUUGUGAAUGUCCUAUGGAAAACUGAACUGCUUUUCCUAAAUCAAGAGACCAUUUACCUAAGUUGGAAAAAUAUCUUUACACAAUAUACAAUAUAUAAUUUUUAAAUGUUGGACACUGAGCAUACACAUUGAAUUACCUUUCUCCUCUUUGUCCUAGAAGACAUGGUAUGUUCGAUAGCACAUGGACCCACAUGGAUGCAGGUCUUCAUUAUGAUUAUUUAAAAUAUAUCUUGGGUUAAAUAAAUACAACUUAAUAAGGCUUAUAUAACAUACACUUACAUUUUUAUACAGGCCAUUAUUCUUUCAAAGUUUAUAGCUUACAACUAAACUUUGCUUAUGAUACCAUUUACUAUUUGCACUUUAGAUAUGUUAUUAUUUCAAUUUUUCAUUCAGGGAAACUGAGGCAGAAGGAGGUUGUAUAAAUUAUCCAAAGUCAUAGAACUGGUAAGUGGCAAAGGCAAGAUUUAAACCCAGGUCUGGCUUCAGAGUCCUCUAUUCUGCACUGCCUAAACUUCUAGUUUACCUUAUUUCAUAUUUAAGCAAAGACAUAAAAGUUCAUAAAGAAAAUUUGCCUUACAUAACAUUUAUGCUUUAAGAAUAUUCCUCAUUAACAAGAUCAAAAAUUAAAAUGUGACACAGUGAGCCAUUUGCCAGUCAGUUCAUGUUCCCAUCUCCUAAUCACGAGUAUUAAUUCUUACAUUGCACAAGUUUAAAUGGUGGCAAGUCCUUCCAGACAAGGAGAUUGUGAAUACACUUUACAGGCACAGAAGAAAGCCCAUUCCUUUGAAAAAAAUAUUGAAGUAAAACCAUUUGAAGUAUAGCAAUGUAAGGUUUAUAAAAGGAGUUUUAUGAGACAUGGACUGAGAUCAGGAAGUGGUAGCAUCAUCUGGGUACAUUUUUAUCAUUUGGCCCCAACACUGAAGGUAGAGACUGUUAUUUAAAUAUAUCCCAAGUAACUUCUGAGCAGAAUGCUUACUUACCAAUACUACACAUCUACCUAUUGAUACACAUACAUGCACAUACCCCUUAUACUCACAUUGCAUAAAUAUCUCUAUGGAAAUAUUUUUCCACUAUUUUUUACUCCGAAACUAUGAAGUCUAAAUACCCAAGAGCUGUGGCUCUUGAAAUUUAUUUUUAAAUUUCAUUAACUGCUUUGUAUAUUCUACACCUAAUCUACAAUUUUUUGUUAUUCUUUUCCCAAAGUCUACAAAUAAAACUCAAAGAUCUAUUUACCUUUAGUUUACAGGAAAGAAAAUAGAACUUUAUUGAAUUUUACUGAUGGUGUUAGGAAAUGUUAAUGAGGGCAAUUGAUUGUGCCUAUGAGAAGCUAAGAAUUUAUUGCUGUUAUUAUAAGAUUAUUUUAGUUUAAAUGGAUUUUAUCAUUGGUGAUGAAUUUACAUAUGGGAAGGCAGAAUCUUACAGGGUCUUAGUUCUUUCUACUCAGAACUACAUUGCUUAAAUUUAGUUUUUUCAAAAUAAAACAAUGGAUAGCAAAACUUCUGUAAUACAAAUAAGAGUAUAAAUGCAAACCCUCAAAUGAAUUACAAAUAAUGCAUUUCAAGAUUCUUAUUAUUAUUUGGCCACAUUUACUAGUAGGAAAUAAAAUACCUAAAAUAUUACAUCAUAAUAAACAUUUUUGUCCACACACAAUAUAAAGGUAGUCAAAAAUAUUUAAUCUUAUACAAGCCUAAAGCUCUUUCAUUUAAGCAAUUUCUAUUUCAAUCUAAACUUUGAUGUGUCAGCCUAAGCUCCAGAGAAUUGCUCCCCUAUAUGAAUGGCUUUGUGUUGGCUCAUUCUCUUUGAAUAGAGAUUUUUUGCUAGACUUAUUCUAACAGCAUUGUUACUUACAAGGAAAAGUCAACCAUUAUUAUAAUACCUUCAAUUGCAUUAAUACUCAAAAAAAGAAAAAAAUAUCACUGAAAGAAGUCACAUUCCAUAUUUGCUUUAUUUAACAGCCAGUGCCUAAUAACUCAUUUUAAAAGUUUGUCUACAGACUUGUAAACAUGGAUGCAGAUGCCUUAGGUUCUAACAUUCUUUCUGCUGCUAACUCAUACAAUUGUUGUAGGUAAGUCAUACAAGUGUUCUAGCCUUAAUUUGGGGUGGGGGAGUGGGGUGAGGGUGGGGCAUCUGGAAAUUCUUGGGCCAGGGAUUGAACUCGAGUCACAGCAGAGACCUGAGCACUGCAAGGACAAUGCUGGAUCCUUAACCUGCUGCACCGUAAGGGAACACCCAACCUUAACGUUUUAAUCUUUGAAAUAAAAAGUAUAGUUUACUACACACAGAUCUAUGAUGAAAGAGCAAUACUUCACAAACACUUUAACACAAGUGCAUCAAUAUUUCGGGAUAUUACCAAGGUAAAGAGAAUAAAGGUAUUUUUUUCCUUUAGCUAUGGGUUGCUGAUUGGAAAAACAAAGAUGAAGAUGAAAAAAAAUUUACAGAAAUGUUUCUCUAAACCCUCUGUGUUGGGAACUCAUGUAUAUAUACACUGGGUCCAUCUUUGGAACAUGUAAAACUUGCAUUGAUUACUGAGACAGUCUCCUAAUUCUCUGUGGAUCCCAACAUGUAUCUGUAUACAGACUCCCUCCAGACCACACAGAACUACUGUGUCACUGCAAGAAUUACAGUUCUUCCUUAGCUGCGGCAUAAUUAGCAUGGCCGUAUAGAAAAAAAGCACCCAGUAAAAUGUGUAUGUUGCUCAGGUAAUGAUAAAAAGAAAAGAGGAGUAUGUAAGAAGGCCUCACUUUAUUUCCCAAUCACAGUUCAGACACAGAUUGAAGCAUCCCAUAAAUAACUAAAGAGAGUUAAACAAGGCUAGAUUCCUACAUUACAGGUAGAAGUGAAAAUUUCAGAUUUAAGACUCAUACAUUUGUUGUCAUUAUUUUUAUUUCUUAGACUCCAUGACUUAAAUGAUACACCAACAGUGGAGACUUCAGUUGCAAAAGUUAUAUGACAGAAUACUGGGGAAGGGAAUAUUGAAGAUAAACUAACAUUAUGAUUAAUUGAAAAAUAAAGCUAACUGAAAAAAGAGGCUCACUGCUUUUCUAAUGUUACCACUCAACUCUUUCAUUGUAACUGUGACCAUUUACCUUCCAGAAGUGUGCAAAGCCAGAGAUACAAAAGUAAAACAACAGUUCCAUUCCUAAUGAAAAUCUGUUCAUUUAUUUACACAGAGAAUCAUGUGUAUACAAUUUUGUCUUUUAUGGUAGCCAAGCAGGAAAACUAUAGAUAGCUAUUACUUUCAAUCUCGUCAUUUUAUUAGUCAGACACACUACAGUGAACACAAAAUUGAAAUGAGGUAACAAGAAUGAAUUCUCUGUUGGUGUGCAAGUGUGCAGCCAGUGAGCACACAAACCCCAAAGAAAACAUUUAAUUUUCCAGAUUUCUAAUCUUUUCUAUUUUUAUCCCAAGUUUUCUGCCUUCGUUAUAUUUUCAUCACGUCAUCAUUAGUCAUCAAAUUCACAUUGAAGACCGACUUUUGAUUAAAUGAAGAUUUUUAAAAUAAAAAUUAUAAAAAUAACAAAUAUUCAGGAAAUCAAUAAAUUUGCACCCAGAAGACUACUUUAUAGUGAUAAUACAGGGUGAUGUGCCCAAAAAAUGAGUGGAGUGUAAUAAUGAAAACUAUAUGCUAGCUGCUCUGGUAAAUCUCUAAAUUUUAAUGCCUUAACAAAAUAGAAGUUAUUUCUCAUAUCAAAGUCCAGUGUGGCUAUUUCCAGUCAGCGAGAGAUUGAGAAGGGAGCAGUGGCUGCAAAAAAUUCAGGGACCCAGCUUAAAAAAGCAUGAGGGAUCAAUAUCCAACUUAUGGAUGGUGUAAGAUAUUGGGUCAACUUGUGUGAGAAGUUUUUUAGCAAAACAUGGAAGAUAUGCAUAUUAUUUCUAAUGAAAUUUCAUUGGCUGGAAACCCAUCACAUGACCUCCCCUAGCUACAAGGGACUCUGAGAAAUGAAAUCUAGCUAUGUACUUAGGAGAGAGAAGACAUGCAUUUUACAAAAAAAAAAAAAAA
ensembl:lncRNA